AUUGAACGCUGGCGGCAUGCUUUACACAUGCAAGUCGAACGGCAGCGCGGGCUUCGGCCUGGCGGCGAGUGGCGAACAGGUGAGUAAUACAUCGGAACGUGCCCAGUAGUGGGGGAUAGCUCGGCGAAAGCCGGAUUAAUACCGCAUACGACCUGAGGGUGAAGGCGGGGGAUCUUCGGACCUCGCGCUAUUGGAGCGGCCGAUGGCAGAUUAGCUAGUUGGUGGGGUAAAGGCCUACCAAGGCGACGAUCUGUAGCUGGUCCGAGAGGACGACCAGCCACACUGGGACUGAGACACGGCCCAGACUCCUACGGGAGGCAGCAGUGGGGAAUUUUGGACAAUGGGCGAAAGCCUGAUCCAGCAAUGCCGCGUGUGUGAUGAAGGCCUUCGGGUUGUAAAGCACUUUUGGCGGGAACGAAAAGGACUGUGCCAAUACCACGGUUCGAUGACGGUACCCGCAGAAUAAGCACCGGCUAACUACGUG
rnacentral:rRNA from 1 species